CCCGGCACAAGCGGUGGAGCAUGUUGGUUUAAUUCGACGCAACGCGAAGAACCUUACCGUGGGCUUGACAUGUUAGUGGUAAGAACCUGAAGGGGAUGACCUGUAGCAAUACAGGAGCUAACACAGGUGCUGCAUGGCUGUCGUCAGCUCGUGCCGUGAGGUGUUGGGUUAAGUCCCGCAACGAGCGCAACCCUUAUCCUAUGUUACCUCGCAAGAGGGUCUCUUAGGAAACUGCCGGCGAUGAGCUGGAGGAAGGUGGGGACGACGUCAAGUCAUCAUGGCCCUUAUGUCCAGGGCUACACACGUGCUACAAUGGCUUCUACAGAGGGAUGCAAGACCGCGAGGUGGAGCCAAUCCUAAAAAGCCGGUCUCAGUUCGGAUUGCAGGCUGCAAUUCGCCUGCAUGAAGUCGGAAUCGCUAGUAAUCGCAGGUCAGCAUACUGCGGUGAAUACGUUCCCGGGCCUU
rnacentral:rRNA from 1 species